CUGUAAGUGACUGUACGCAGCGCGUGCCGCGGAGCGCGUGCUCUGAGCACAUGGAAAAGGGCUCGAGACGAAGUGCCCAAAGAAAUACUCCACACCUGAAAUGGAAUAUCAUUAACAAAUUAUUCAAAUCUGGAGUAAAGGGGACCUUCAGGACAGCUGCUAGUCAGCCUGUCGUUCUCUCAAUAGAAGCCUGAAACCGGAGACACGAGUGAAUGCCAAACUUUUCAGGAAAAAAACCUACAUGUUCUGCCCCAUGCCACCUACGUGUUCUGCUGAGCUUACAGCUCCUUGCCAUCAAAGUCAAUGUUGCUGCUAUGCUGUGAAGAGAUGAAGAUCUGCUGUUUCCUGUGGACAGCUGGGUUUUACACAGUAGGCAUAAAGAGGUGGAAGAGGAUCAGAGCCCUAUGGCGGUGUGUUUGAUGACUGUCAGGGCCAGCAGUGUCAAGGUCAGCGUUCUUGUGAGUGAGUGUGACCUGAAUAAUGUAUAACUACAUGAUAAGCAGAAGGCAAAGAGUUUAUAGUAAGUCCCUCGGUAAACUACAUACACAGUGAGAUCACCUAGAUCACAGUAAUGAUGGACUGUGGGACACUUAUCUAUCAGAGUCUCAACUUUUUUUCCCCCUGAUUUUGACCAGGAUCACAUGAUGUUUACUCACUCAGGCAUUUCAAACAAACCUGUUGAUAUGCAGCAGCUGGAUAUAUUCAUAUGUAUAAGAAAAAAAAAAAAAAAAAACUUAUUUGCAGCCCAGUAUUUUUUUUUAAAAAAAGAAAGAAAAUAAAUAAAGAAAUAACAUACUUGUUUUUAGAGAUGAAAAUGUAAGUUUAAUGAAAAGAAAAAGAAGCAUAAAAGGAAAUGUAAAAAAGGAAAUGUAUUUUCAACAGACAUGUUGUUGCAGCCAUCUUCAGCUUCAUGAAAAGCGAGAGAUUAAAGUAUUGUGUCCAUGCACCACAUGGCUUUGAAUUCUAAAGAAUCCAGUGAAUCCUUCAUAAGGAAAUGCGGCAGGACUAAAGUUGCAGUAUGUCCUUGAUCCAUCAACAGAUGAUUUAUUUAUGAAUUUAAUACUGCUCUUGGACAAACAGAAGAUCUGCAGAUACAUGUAUACAUAUUGAGCUUCAUUCACAAUAGAUAUUGUAUUUUAGAGCGUGAAGCAAAGUAUCAUGAAGAAACUGUCAAAAUAUUUCUUGAGAAAUGAAAAACAAGAAUUGAAGAUGAAUACAAAGUCAUUAAUGUGAAUCGAUGAUGGGAACAAGAAUGGAUUAUUCAUUCUCAUAGCUUGCUGAUUCAAACCGCUCCUCUCCUUGUAGCUCUUAAACAGAACAAGGGGAUUUUUUACCAGCAUUAGUGAAUUAUUUGUUUCUUUUUUAGACUUUAUUUCAUUAUUUGAAAUCUUUUUAUUAUUAUAUUGCACUUAGAAUUUUGAGAAAGGUGUAUCACAAAUAAAAUUCAUUAUUAUUGCAUUAUCUUAAUAUUCUGUUGGACCACAGUGAGGUCCACUAGAUUUCAUGCACACUUGUAUAUUUUGGUGUAUGCUAAUACUAGUAUGUAGUAUACUGAGAAAAUCACAUUUGAAGUUGUCCAAAUAUAUUCUUAGCAAUGCAUAUUACUAAUCAAAGAUUACGUUUUGAUAUAUUUAUGGUAGGAAAUUUACUAAAUAUAUCCAUGGAACGUGAGCUUUACUUAAUAUCCUAAUGAUUUUUGGCAUAAAAAAAUAAAUGAUUUUGACCCAUACAA